rnacentral:rRNA from 1 species
UACGUAGGGGGCUAGCGUUGUUCGGAUUUACUGGGCGUAAAGCGCACGUAGGCGGAUCGUUAAGUCGGGGGUGAAAUCCCGGGGCUCAACCUCGGAACUGCCUUUGAUACAGCAAGUCUUGAGUUCGAGAGAGGUGGGUGGAAUUCCUAGUGUAGAGGUGAAAUUCGUAGAUAUUAGGAAGAACACCGGUGGCGAAGGCGGGUCUCUGGGCCGUAACUGACGCUGAGGAGCGAAAGCGUGGGGAGCGAACAGG